GGGCUGGUCUCAGUGUUGCCUCGGGCUUUGAAUCUCUCCAUCAGUAUUGGGAGAAUUUAAUGAGGACCUGAACAGUUGUGUGUGUGUGUGUGUGUGUGUGUGUGUGUGUGUGUGUGUGUGUGUGUGUGUAGUUCUUCGGUGGAUCAAUUGGCUUUUUUGCUACAAAAAAGGGUGAGAUAAAUUGCCCCAAAGUUAUAAAAAGCAAAUGGUGUAAAGACAUAAACAUAUGCCAAGCAUAUGAAUGGAAAAUUGAAAACAUCAGGGCUUUCCAGUGACCCACAUGCUCCCGACCUGUAAUGUUUCCCUGUCUGACUUCCCUCAUUUUUUUCCCUUUCCCCAAGCAAACACAUGUGUGCCCUGCAGAACUGGGCUUUAUCAAGAAAGGAUUUCUCGGCUUGUUUAUUGUCAUUACAUCAUAAGCGUAAUAAGGUUCCAUUGGAAUGAUCAGUUGACAUGGCCAUUGGUGUGAGUGGGGAAAGCUUGCCUGCCUUGGGCAGGACUGUCAAGUAGCUGAGCUGUUUUUGGCCUUCUGCUCCCUUCUAUGUCUUUCUUGUCUCAUUCCUCAGCCCUCUGACCCUCACAGGAGACCAGAGACUAUGUGUUGCUAUUGGUUGCCCGAGUGGUUCCUGCAAUGUGGGCUCAUCUAGACUUGUCCCAAUCAGUAUUGACUGAUUUGAUCUCCUUGAUGUCCAAGGGGUCUCAGAAGUCUUCUCCAGCAAAACAAUUUGAAAGCAUUGUUUCUGUUCCACUGAACUUUCCUGAUAGUACCACUUUCACAGCCAGAGAUUACUACUGGAAAAACCAUAGCUUGGACAAUAGAGACUUUUGUUAGCAAGGUAAUCUCUCUCUUUCUUUUUAGUAUGCUGUCAAAAUUUGCUGUAGUUUUCCUUCCAAGGAGCAGCGUCUUUUAAUUUCAUGGCUGCAGUCACUGUCUACAGUGAUCUUUGAGCCCAAGGCACUGGAGAUACAGAACUGAAACAGUCCAUAUUCUAAGCUUACAUUCCAGCAAGGGAAACAUUCAAAAGAAAUAUAACUCCAGGGACUUUGGACAGGAGUAAUAAUAACUCAUAUUUUGUACAUCACUUAAGUGUAUGCAAAAUGCUUUUCUUGCACCCAGCCUAUGAGGCAGAAAGUAUGUUUUAUCCCCAUUUUGCAUAUGAGGAAACUGAGAUUGGUUUGAGAGAGCUUACGUGACUUACAAUGUGCUAGGUAUCUGGAAGUGAGAUCAAAAGGAACUUCUGGUGCUUACUACAGCCUCUCUGAGACAUGACUUCUUCAUUUGUAAACUGAUUAAUGUACUUGGCAGCCUUAAAUCUAG
rnacentral:lncRNA from 1 species